rnacentral:rRNA from 1 species
UUCGGGGAGCUUGCACAGGUGCUGCAUGGCUGUCGUCAGCUCGUGUCGUGAGAUGUUCGGUUAAGUCCGCUAACGAGCGCAACCCUCGUCGUGUGUUAUACGUGUCACACGAUACUGCCGGUAUCAAGCCGGAGGAAGGUGGGGAUGAUGUCAAGUCAGCAUGGCCUUUAUAUCCUGGGCUACACACACGCUACAAUGGCAGAUACAAUAGGUUGCGAAACCGCGAGGUGGAGCCAAUCCUCAAAGUCUGUCUCAGUUCAGAUUGUAGGCUGCAACUCGCCUGCAUGAAGUUGGAGUUGCUAAGUAAACGCAGGUCAGCUAUACUGCGUGAAUACGUCCGGGUUU